rnacentral:rRNA from 1 species
UGCAAGUCGAGGGGCAGCAUUUUAGUUUGCUUGCAAACUGAAGAUGGCGACCGGCGCACGGGUGAGUAACACGUAUCCAACCUGCCGAUAACUCCGGAAUAGCCUUUCGAAAGAAAGAUUAAUACCGGAUGGCAUACGAAUAUCGCAUGAUAUUUUUAUUAAAGAAUUUCGGUUAUCGAUGGGGAUGCGUUCCAUUAGUUUGUUGGCGGGGUAACGGCCCACCAAGACUACGAUGGAUAGGGGUUCUGAGAGGAAGGUCCCCCACAUUGGAACUGAGACACGGUCCAAACUCCUACGGGAGGCAGCAGUGAGGAAUAUUGGUCAAUGGGCGCGAGCCUGAACCAGCCAAGUAGCGUGAAGGAUGAAGGCUCUAUGGGUCGUAAACUUCUUUUAUAUGGGAAUAAAGUUUUCCACGUGUGGAAUUUUGUAUGUACCAUAUGAAUAAGGAUCGGCUAACUCCGUGCCAGCAGCCGCGGUAAUACGGAGGAUCCGAGCGUUAUCCGGAUUUAUUGGGUUUAAAGGGAGCGUAGGUGGAUUGUUAAGUCAGUUGUGAAAGUUUGCGGCUCAACCGUAAAAUUGCAGUUGAAACUGGCAGUCUUGAGUACAGUAGAGGUGGGCGGAAUUCGUGGUGUAGCGGUGAAAUGCUUAGAUAUCACGAAGAACUCCGAUUGCGAAGGCAGCUCACUAGACUGUUACUGACACUGAUGCUCGAAAGUGUGGGUAUCAAACAGGAUUAGAUACCCUGGUAGUCCACACAGUAAACGAUGAAUACUCGCUGUUUGCGAUAUACAGUAAGCGGCCAAGCGAAAGCAUUAAGUAUUCCACCUGGGGAGUACGCCGGCAACGGUGAAACUCAAAGGAAUUGACGGGGGCCCGCACAAGCGGAGGAACAUGUGGUUUAAUUCGAUGAUACGCGAGGAACCUUACCCGGGCUUAAAUUGCAACAGAAUAUAUUGGAAACAGUAUAGCCGUAAGG